UACGAAGGGGGCUAGCGUUGCUCGGAUUGACUGGGCGUAACGGGCGCGUAGGCGGUUUGUACAGUCAGACGUGAAAUUCCUGGGCUCAACCUGGGGGCUGCGUUUGAUACGUGCGAGCUUGAGUUCGGAAGAGGGUCGUGGAAUUCCCAGUGUAGAGGUGAAAUUCGUAGAUAUUGGGAAGAACACCGGUGGCGAAGGCGGCGAGCUGGUCCGAUACUGACGCUGAGGCGCGAAAGCGUGGGGAGCAAACAGG
rnacentral:rRNA from 1 species